UACGUAGGGGGCAAGCGUUGUCCGGAAUUAUUGGGCGUAAAGAGCUCGUAGGCGGCUUGUCACGUCGGGUGUGAAAGCCCGGGGCUUAACCCCGGGUCUGCAUUCGAUACGGGCAGGCUAGAGUGUGGUAGGGGAGUCUGGAAUUCCUGGUGUAGCGGUGAAAUGCGCAGAUAUCAGGAGGAACACCGGUGGCGAAGGCGGGACUCUGGGCCGAUACUGACGCUGAGGAGCGAAAGCGUGGGGAGCAAACAGG
rnacentral:rRNA from 1 species